rnacentral:rRNA from 1 species
AAGGAUAAGCUAACCGCACUGUUGGUUAUGUGCGGGCAAGUAUUGAGGCAGUUCUGGUAGGCAAAUCCGCCAGAAUAAUGCUAGGGUACGAUGCGGAGCGAAAUUUAGUAGCGAAGUAGCUGAUUUCACACUGUCGAGAAAAGUCUCUAUCGAGGUUAAAGGUGCCUGUACCGCAAACCGACACAGGUGGGUGAGGAGAGUAUCCUAAGGCCAGCCAGAGAACUGUUGUUAAGGAACUCGGCAAAAUGACCCCGUAACUUAGGGAGAAGGGGUGCCUUCGAAAGAAGGCCGCAGAGAAUAGGCCCAAGCGACUGUUUACCAAAAACAUAGGUUUCUGCUAAGUCGCAAGACGAUGUAUAGGAGCUGACGCCUGCCCGGUGCUGGAAGGUUAAGGGGAUCUGUUAGAGCAAUCGAAGCAGUGAACUUAAGCCCCAGUAAACGGCGGCCGUAACAAUAACGGUCCUAAGGUAGCGAAAUUCCUUGUCGGGUAAGUUCCGACCCGCACGAAAGGCGUAACGAUUUGGGCACUGUCUCAACAACAGACUGGGUGAAAUUGUAAUACCGGUGAAGAUGCCGGUUACCUGCGACAGGACGGAAAGACCCCAUGGAGCUUUACUGUAGCUUGACAUUGAGUCUCGGUGCUACAUGUACAGGAUAGGUGGGAGGCUAUGAAGCAUGGACGUCAGUUUGUGUGGAGCCAUCCUUGGGAUACCACCCUUGUAGUACUGGGAUUCUAACCAGCUGCCUUGAAUCAGGUAGUGGGACACUGUCAGGUGGACAGUUUGACUGGGGCGGUCGCCUCCUAAAGAGUAACGGAGGCGCUCAAAGGUUCUCACAGUACGGUCGGAAAUCGUACGUAGAGUGUAAAGGCAGAAGAGAGCUUGAUUGCAAGACAUACAGGUCGAGCAAGGACGAAAGUCGGACUUAGUGAUCCGGUGGUACCGCAUGGAAGGGCCAUCGCUCAACGGAUAAAAGCUACCCUGGGGAUAACAGGCUGAUCUCCCCCAAGAGUCCACAUCGACGGGGAGGUUUGGCACCUCGAUGUCGGCUCAUCACAUCCUGGGGCUGUAGUAGGUCCCAAGGGUUGGGCUGUUCGCCCAUUAAAGUGGUACGCGAGCUGGGUUCAGAACGUCGUGAGACAGUUCGGUCCCUAUCCGUCGCAGGCGUAGGAAAUUUGAGGAGACCUGUCCUUAGUACGGGAGGACCGGGAUGGACGUACCGCUGGUGUACCAGUUGUUCUGCCAAGGGCAUAGCUGGGUAGCUAAGUACGGAAAGGAUAAGCGCUGAAAGCAUCUAAGCGCGAAGCCUACUUCGAGAUAAGAUUUCCCACCGCAAGGUUAAGACCCCAUGAAGACUACAUGGUUGA